GUCGAGCGAUCUCUUCGGAGAGAGCGGCGGACGGGUGAGUAACGCGUGGGUAACCUGCCCUGUACACACGGAUAACAUACCGAAAGGUAUACUAAUACGGGAUAACAUACGAAAGUCGCAUGGCUUUUGUAUCAAAGCUCCGGCGGUACAGGAUGGACCCGCGUCUGAUUAGCUAGUUGGUAAGGUAAUGGCUUACCAAGGCAACGAUCAGUAGCCGACCUGAGAGGGUGAUCGGCCACACUGGAACUGAGACACGGUCCAGACUCCUACGGGAGGCAGCAGUGGGGAAUAUUGCACAAUGGGCGAAAGCCUGAUGCAGCAACGCCGCGUGAGCGAUGAAGGCCUUCGGGUCGUAAAGCUCUGUCCUCAAGGAAGAUAAUGACGGUACUUGAGGAGGAAGCCCCGGCUAACUACGUGCCAGCAGCCGCGGUAAUACGUAGGGGGCUAGCGUUAUCCGGAAUUACUGGGCGUAAAGGGUGCGUAGGUGGUUUUUUAAGUCAGAAGUGAAAGGCUACGGCUCAACCGUAGUAAGCUUUUGAAACUAGAGAACUUGAGUGCAGGAGAGGAGAGUAGAAUUCCUAGUGUAGCGGUGAAAUGCGUAGAUAUUAGGAGGAAUACCAGUAGCGAAGGCGGCUCUCUGGACUGU
rnacentral:rRNA from 1 species